rnacentral:lncRNA from 1 species
GCCGCCGCCACCGCUGCCGCCGUUACCGCCGCCGUCUUGGCUCCUCUCCGUCACGGGCCAACCUGGAAGGAAGUCCCCGCCCCGCAAUGCGUCCCAGAGAUUUUCGACCCUUCCACGCCCCCCAACCCAAGCUCCUCCCGCAAGAUUCGAUCUCUGGAAGCGCGUAGGGGCGGUGGAAUUUAUUUUUAUUUUUUAUUUUGAUCGCGUCGUGGGCAGCAGAGAUGGAUAGAAGCCAGCCAGGAAAAGAGAAAAGGGUGGUGGGAUGGGAC